AUGAUGUAUUGAGCAAACAUGCCAGGAGAAAAGAUGAUGACUGACCAUUGGAUCAAGCUGAAUUAGGUGUUGGAUCAAAGUUCUGUAAUCAGGUGAGGACCUAAGAAUUGUUGAAGCUCUGAAAUGAGAGGGACCCAACUGGAAAGACAAAGACAGCUGUUAGUAGUAGUAGCCAUUGUAAUGCCAAAGGCUAAGCUGUAAUCAAGGGAGAAAAUAGAGGAAAACAGAUUCGGAAACUGAAAAGCCAGGCAACACAAUAAGUUUAGUGGCCAGUCAUAUGUCAUACAUAGACCUACCUACUCCAAAUUUCAGCAGCCACUGUGGUAAACAUUCUAUGUGAGCUCAAAUUCUCUGUGGCAAUGUCCCAAUUGACAAUGAUAAUUCUUUCUGCUUUGAAUUCAGGCUCUUCUCCAAAGGUCCAGGAUCACACAAAUGUCACAGGCAAGCUCAGCAAAGCCUGAGGAAGCAAAUGUUUCCAAGACUAACUCUAACUGUAGGUAGAGGGAACAAUAAUGUGGCCUGUACAUGGCAGCAAAAAUGAAAGAAGUUCCAGGAGCAACUCCACGCAUGCCUGGGACCACAUGGACCGUUUGUAAGAGAGAUGCUGAUAGAACAAUAACUUGGAGCCACGGGCAAGGAAACAUGAACCACGAGUCAACAAACCCACAUGGAGUUUAUUGAAAAGAAAGGGAAGAAGAGAAGGGGGGUGUUGGCCAACUGGGAGCAGAGAAAAAGAGAGAAGCGAAGAGGGGCAGAGAAGGGAGAGCAA